rnacentral:rRNA from 1 species
AUUGAACGCUGGCGGCAGGCCUAACACAUGCAAGUCGAACGAGGGGCGGACGGGUGAGUAAUGUCUGGGAAACUGCCCGAUGGAGGGGGAUAACUACUGGAAACGGUAGCUAAUACCGCAUACCAUCGGAUGUGCCCAGAUGGGAUUAGCUAGUAGGUUGGGUAACGGCUCACCUAGGCGACGAUCCCUAGCUGGUCUGAGAGGAGGACCAGCCACACUGGAACGAUGACACGGCCCGGACCCCUGCGGGAGGCAGCAGUGGGGAAUAUUGCACAAUGGGCGCAAGCCUGAUGCCGCCAUGCCGCGUGUAUGAUGAAGGCCUUUGGGUUGUAAAGUACUUUCAGCGAGGAGGCGUUACUCGCAGAAGAAGCACCGGCUAACUCCGUGCCAGCAGCCGCGGUAAUAC